rnacentral:miRNA from 1 species
UCUUUCAUGGUGGCAUGGAGUCCCUAUCUCUCUGCUCACUUCUCUCUCCUUUUACGAUUGUGAAGGUUGUACAAUAAAAGGUGAUGCAGG